ACUGGAGUUCAGACGUGUGCUCUUCCGAUCUGUUUCCCAGUCACGAUAGGAUCAUCGUAAGUUUAAUGCGAAUCGGGGGCGAAGGCUCCCGAUGAUGCAAACGAAUUUCUGCCCUAUCAGCUUUCAAUCGUAGUGUAGGGGACUACGAUGGCGAUAACGGGUACGGGGAAUUAGGGUUCGAUUCCGGAGAGGGCGCCUGAGAAACGGCACCCACUUCCAAGGAAGGCAGCAGGCGCGUAAAUUAUCCAAUCCCGAUACGGGGAGAUAGUGACAAGAAAUACCGAUGUGGGGCCAAAACUGGUUCCACUAUCGGAAUGAGCACAGUUUAAAGCCAUUAGCGAGGAACAAUUGGAGGGCAAGUCUGGUGCCAGCAGCCGCGGUAAUUCCAGCUCCAAUAGUGUAUACUAAAGUUGUUGCGGUUAAAAAGCUCGUAGUUGGACUCAAGGAUUGAUUGGUAUCGGUGCCUCUGGCUCAGGCUGGGGGGUAAAGGCCGGGCCUUUCUUUUCUAUUUUUCGGGAUGUUUAACGGGGUGCUUCUUGCUUCGGCGGGGGGUGCUUCGAUCUUAGAGGGUUUACUUUGAAUAAAUUUGAGUGCUCAAAGCAGGCUAAUAGCCUUGAAAAUUUUAGCAUGGGAUAAUGGAAUAUGACCUUUGGUCAGUACUUUAUUGGUUUCUGUGGCCGGGGUAAUGUUUAAUAGGGACAGUCGGGGUCGCUCGUAUCCACUGGUUAGAGGUGAAAUUCUAUGACCCGGUGGGGACGAACAAAUGCGAAGGCAUUCGACAAGGAUGUUUUCAUUAAUCAAGAACGAAAGUUGUGGGAGCGAAGAUGAUUAGAUACCGUCGUAGUCACAACCGUAAACUAUGUUGACUCAGGAUUCGGGGGUGUUACAUGGAUGACCCUCCGGGCACUGUGUGCGAAAGCAUAAGUAUUCGAACUCCGGGGGGAGUAUGGUCGCAAGGCUGAAACUUAAAGGAAUUGACGGAAGGGCACCACCAGGAGUGGAACCUGCGGCUUAAUUUGACCCAACACGGGGAAACUCACCCAGUCCAGACACAACGAGGAUUGACAGAUUGAUAGCUCUUUCUUGAUUUUGUGGAAGCCGGUGCAUGGCCGUUUUUAGUUGGUGGAGUGAUUUGUCUGGUUUAGUCCGAUAACGAACGAGACCUUCUUCUAUUAAAUAGGUGAGCUAGCACGGGGGUUCAUGGGGGCGUUGGGGCAACCUGGCGUCUUCUGGGCUCCCAUUAGUUGCUGGCAAUAUAAACUUCUUAGAGAGACUGUUGGCGUCUUUAAAAGCCAAAGGAAGAUUGAGGCAAAAACAGGUCUGUGAUGCCGCUCGAUGUCUGGGGCUGCACGCGCGUUACACUGGAGUGUUCAGCGAGUAUUAUAUCAAGGCCGAAGGGCCUGAGAGAACCUUUUAAAGCAUUUCGUGAUGGGGAUUGUAUAUUGAAACUAUUACACAUAAACGAGGAAUUCCUAGUAGGGGUGGGUCAUCAACCCGCCCCGAUUACGUCCCUGCCCUUUGUACACACCGCCCAUAUAUCGUGACUGGGAAAC
rnacentral:rRNA from 1 species